rnacentral:rRNA from 1 species
AUUGAACGCUGGCGGCAGACCUAACACAUGCAAGUCGAGCGGAGCGGCGGACGGGUGAGUAAUGCCUAGGAAUCUGCCUGGUAGAGGGGGCUAACGUCCGGAAACGGGCGCUAAUCCCGCAUACUAUCAGAUUAGCCUAGGUCGGAUUCGCUGGUUGGUGGGGUAAAGGCCUACCAAGGCGACGAUCCGUAACUGGCGUGAGAGGAUGAUCAGUCACUCGGGAACUGAGACACGGGCCAGACGCCUACGUGAGGCAGCAGUGGGGAAUAGUGGACAAUGGGCGAAAGCCUGUUCCAGCCGUGCCGCGUGUGUGAAGUAGGUCUUCGGAUUGUAAAGCACUUUAAGUUGGGAGGCGUUACCAACAGAAGAAGCACCGGCUAACUUCAUGCCAGCAGCGGCGGUAAUUC